GACGAACGCUGGCGGCGUGCUUAGCACAUGCAAGUCGAACGGAAAGGCCCUGCUUUUGUGGGGUGCUCGAGUGGCGAACGGGUGAGUAACACGUGAGUAACCUGCCCUUGACUUUGGGAUAACUUCAGGAAACUGGGGCUAAUACCGGAUAGGAGCUCCUGCUGCAUGGUGGGGGUUGGAAAGUUUCGGCGGUUGGGGAUGGACUCGCGGCUUAUCAGCUUGUUGGUGGGGUAGUGGCUUACCAAGGCUUUGACGGGUAGCCGGCCUGAGAGGGUGACCGGCCACAUUGGGACUGAGAUACGGCCCAGACUCCUACGGGAGGCAGCAGUGGGGAAUAUUGCACAAUGGGCGGAACCCUGAUGCAGCAACGCCGCGUGCGGGAUGACGGCCUUCGGGUUGUAAACCGCUUUCGCCUGUGACGAAGCGUGAGUGACGGUAAUGGGUAAAGAAGCACCGGCUAACUACGUG
rnacentral:rRNA from 1 species